UCUCCUCACCAUGCUCUGGGCUCCCCUCGUUGUCGUGCUGCUGGGGGUGUGGUGCACAGGUUCCAGCUCCCAGUCUGUGGUGACGCACCCGCCUGCAGAGUCAGUGUCCCCAGGAAACACUGUGAAACUCUCCUGCACCAUGAGCAGUGGGACCAGCAUCAGUGGCUACUAUGUGAACUGGUUUCAGCAGAAACCUGGGACCCCCCCUCGGUACCUGCUGUAUUACAAGUCGGAUUCUGAGAAGCACCAGGGCUCCGGGGUCCCCGCUCGCUUCUCUGGCUCCAAAGACACGUCCAGUAACACUGCCUACCUGACCAUCGCCGAUGCCCUUGCGGAGGACGAGGCUGACUAUUACUGUGCUGUGUGGCACAGUAGUGCUUGUCACAGUGAUAUACGUAUCUUCAACACUUAUACUUGUGAAGAGGCCUUUGAGGGAAGGCCAGCCUGGAACAAGGCUGUGGGAGGCUUCAAUUUCCCAAUGCCUCUCAAAUCGGACCUACUGCUCUGCUGGCCCCUGUACCCGCUGGACCCCCGGGAAGAUGGGUGUGUGUCAUCGCCCAACAACAUCUGGACUGACUUAGGCCUGUGCAAAUAG